AGGUAAGCUACUAAGAGCGAAUGGUGGAUGCCUUGACUGGUAAAGGCGAUGAAGGACGUACUAGACUGCGAUAAGCUACGGGGAGCUGUCAAGAAGCUUUGAUCCGUAGAUUUCCGAAUGGGGCAACCCAAUGUAUAGAGAUAUACAUUACCUAUAUAGGAGCGAACGAGGGGAAUUGAAACAUCUUAGUACCCUCAGGAAAAGAAAUCAAUAGAGAUUGCGUCAGUAGCGGCGAGCGAAAGCGCAAGAGGGCAAACCCAGUGCUUGCACUGGGGGUUGUAGGACUGCAAUGUGCAAGAGGUAAGUUUAGCAGAACAUUCUGGAAAGUAUAACCAUAGAGGGUGAUAGUCCCGUAUGCGAAAAACAAACCUUAGCUAGCAGUAUCCUGAGUAGGGCGGGACACGAGGAAUCCUGUCUGAAUCCGGGUCGACCACGAUCCAACCCUAAAUACUAAUACCAGAUCGAUAGUGCACAAGUACCGUGAGGGAAAGGUGAAAAGAACUGAGGUGAUCAGAGUGAAAUAGAACCUGAAACCAUUUGCUUACAAUCAUUCAGAGCCCUAUGUAGCAAUACAGGGUGAUGGACUGCCUUUUGCAUAAUGAGCCUGCGAGUUGUGGUGUCUGGCAAGGUUAAGCAAACGCGAAGCCGUAGCGAAAGCGAGUCUGAAUAGGGCGCUUAGUCAGAUGCUGCAGACCCGAAACGAAGUGAUCUAUCCAUGAGCAAGUUGAAGCUAGUGUAAGAACUAGUGGAGGACUGAACCCAUAGGCGUUGAAAAGCCCCGGGAUGACUUGUGGAUAGGGGUGAAAGGCCAAUCAAACUUCGUGAUAGCUGGUUCUCUCCGAAAUAUAUUUAGGUAUAGCGUUGUGUCGUAAUAUAAGGGGGUAGAGCACUGAAUGGGCUAGGGCAUACACCAAUGUACCAAACCCUAUCAAACUCCGAAUACCUUAUAUGUAAUCACAGCAGUCAGGCGGCGAGUGAUAAAAUCCGUCGUCAAGAGGGAAACAACCCAGACUACCAGCUAAGGUCCCUAAAUCUUACUUAAGUGGAAAACGAUGUGAAGUUACUUAAACAACCAGGAGGUUGGCUUAGAAGCAGCCAUCCUUUAAAGAAAGCGUAAUAGCUCACUGGUCUAGUGAUUUUGCGCGGAAAAUAUAACGGGGCUAAAGUAAGUACUGAAGCUGUAGACUUAGUUUACUAAGUGGUAGGAGAGCGUUCUAUUUGCGUCGAAGGUAUACCGGUAAGGAGUGCUGGAGCGAAUAGAAGUGAGCAUGCAGGCAUGAGUAGCGAUAAUUAAUGUGAGAAUCAUUAACGCCGUAAACCCAAGGUUUCCUACGCGAUGCUCGUCAUCGUAGGGUUAGUCGGGUCCUAAGUCGAGUCCGAAAGGGGUAGACGAUGGCAAAUUGGUUAAUAUUCCAAUACCAACAUUAGUGUGCGAUGGAAGGACGCUUAGGGCUA
rnacentral:rRNA from 1 species